GCUAGCAUGGUGUAGUGGUUUGAGCCCUGGACUAUGACUCUGGAGACCAGGGUUCAAAUCUCUGCUCGGCCA